GACGAACGCUGGCGGCGUGCUUAACACAUGCAAGUCGAACGGAAAGGCCCUGCUUGCAGGGUACUCGAGUGGCGAACGGGUGAGUAACACGUGGGUGAUCUGCCCUGCACUUCGUGAUAAGCCUGGGCAACUGGGUCUAAUACCGGAUAGGAGCCAUUUUUAGUGUGAUGGUUGGAAAGUUUUUUCGGUGUAGGAUGAGCUCGCGGCCUAUCAGCUUGUUGGUGGGUUAAUGGCCUACCAAGGCGGCGACGGGUAGCCGGCCUGAGAGGGUGGACGGCCACAUUGGGACUGAGAUACGGCCCAGACUCCUACGGGAGGAAGCAGUGGGGAAUAUUGCACAAUGGGCGCAAGCCUGAUGCAGCGACGCCGCGUGGGGGAUGACGGCCUUCGGGUUGUAAACUCCUUUCGCUAGGGACGAAGCUUUUUGUGACGGUACCUAGAGAAGAAGCACCGGCUAACUACGUG
rnacentral:rRNA from 1 species